UUCUGUAGCAUUUGCCUGGUGAAGAGUUAGUCUAUAGAGAAGCCUGUGAAAAUCGAUUAUUCCAUUGUUUUGCCUACAAGAGCGAUGGUUUUUACCUUCCAAAUGGCAAAAAGUUAUCGAGAAAAACUGUGCAAAAUGGAUGGAUAUAAAUCGGAUAUAAAUUUAGCUAUGAUGAUCGAGUGAGAGUAGUCAAUGCUGGCGGAAUGAAUUCUAAAAUCGCUACAUAAGUCUAUCAUAAGGCUAAUACACUUUUGGAAAAACCCAAGUCAGAUUAUGAUCUUGGUAAAGCAAAAAAAAAAUAAGAGGAAAAUACAAAGACUUAAUCAAAAAUGAUAAUUUAAUUAAAAUGCAGGAGUUAUUGGUGCAUAAGCUCUUACUCGGACUAGAGUUGGCACACUGUUCCUUUUCAGUGUAGGUAAAACCCACGUUUGUCUGCCAAAGGCUAAUGGCUCUUGCGCAUUAAAAGGUCUCAUAGUUUUUGACCUGAGCUACCCACAUUAAUAUAUUCGCUUAUAUGUGAAAGGUUUGACUUUAGAGCAUGCACAGAAUUGCUUUAAAUUUGCAUAAUUGAUAGUUACAAACCAUAACCAUCUUCUUCUUUUGUUUCAUAUUAUGAUUUUAUUUCUGUAUUCAAUAAAAUUUGGUACUUCAGAGUCUCAUACAAAUCGAUAGCGAGCGUUUACGUUACACGACGAAACUUGUACGAAAGAUACAGUUAAUUGCCUUUCUGAUACAUUUAAAUAUUUUGAAAUAAAAAAAAAAUAAAAAUUUUAAUGAAGCAAUCAAGUGAACUCUUUUGCUAUUUCAAGGCCAAUUGUAAGGUGAAUAUCCUCAUUUGAAUAAUUUUGAA